UAAGCCUGGGAAACUGGGUCUAAUACCGAAUAGGACCGCAUGCUUCAUGGUGUGUGGUGGAAAGCUUUUGCGGUGUGGGAUGGGCCCGCGGCCUAUCAGCUUGUUGGUGAGGUAAUGGCUUACCAAGGCGACGACGGGUAGCCGGCCUGAGAGGGUGACCGGCCACACUGGGACUGAGAUACGGCCCAGACUCCUACGGGAGGCAGCAGUGGGGAAUAUUGCACAAUGGGCGCAAGCCUGAUGCAGCGACGCCGCGUGAGGGAUGACGGCCUUCGGGUUGUAAACCUCUUUCGCCAGGGACGAAGCGCAAGUGACGGUACCUGGAGAAGAAGGACCGGCCAACUACGUGCCAGCAGCCGGGGGUAA
rnacentral:rRNA from 1 species